rnacentral:rRNA from 1 species
UACGGAGGGGCUAGCGUUGUUCGGAAUUACUGGGCGUAAAGCGCGCGUAGGCGGCUUUGUAAGUUAGAGGUGAAAGCCCGGGGCUCAACCCCGGAAUUGCCUUUAAGACUGCAUCGCUUGAAUCCGGGAGAGGUGAGUGGAAUUCCGAGUGUAGAGGUGAAAUUCGUAGAUAUUCGGAAGAACACCAGUGGCGAAGGCGGCUCACUGGACCGGCAUUGACGCUGAGGCGCGGAAAGCCAGGGGAGCAAACGGG